GUGAGGAAUUUUCCGCAAUGGGCGAAAGCCUGACGGAGCAAUGCCGCGUGAAGGAUGAAGGCCUAUGGGUUGUAAACUUCUUUUCUCAGAAAAGAAUUAUGACGGUAUCUGAGGAAUAAGCAUCGGCUAACUCUGUGCCAGCAGCCGCGGUAAGACAGAGGAUGCAAGCGUUAUCCGGAAUGAUUGGGCGUAAAGCGUCUGUAGGUUGUUUAAAAAGUAUUCUGUCAAAGAUUAGGGCUUAACCCUAGAUAGGCAGAAUAAACUUUUAAGCUAGGGUUUGGUAGAGGCAGAGGGAAUUCCCGGUGGAGCGGUGAAAUGCGUAGAUAUCGGGAGGAACACCAAAGGCGAAGGCACUCUGCUGGGCCAAUACUAACACUGAGAGACGAAAGCGAGGGGAGCAAAUGGGAUUAGAUACCCCGGUAGUCC
rnacentral:rRNA from 1 species